CAAGAGGCGGAUGCUACGAUGCCAGCAGCGAUGAUGUUAGAGAAAGAGACACACAGAGAAAGAGACAGGAGGGAGAAGCAGAGGAUUUUUUUAACAAGAGGCUCUUUAAAUGCUUUGAGUCUAUUUCUAAUGGUUCACAUACCCACUUUAUGGGCAGACCUUGGCUUUGAAGUAGGAAUGCCCUGCUUCUGCCAUUUCCUAUUGGGGUAAUGGUGGGCAAGUCACUGGGGCUUGCUGAACCUCAUUUUCUCAGUUCUAAUAAGGUCUUCUAAUAGGUCUCACUUCUAAUAAGGUCUUCUAAUAACUUUUAAUAAGGUCUCCCAUGCAGAAGAGAAGCAAGGACUGAAUGAGACAGUACCUAAGAAAGAAAGAAAGAAUGGACAUUGCUAUGCACGGUGGCUGCCAACAUUUGAGUCUAAGAAGAAGAAAGAAUUGCCAAGCUGACUAUUUGAAGUCAGUAGUGCUAAGAGUCAGAGAUCUAGCUGGAACCAAGCCAUCUCCUGAUGCCCAGGCACCACUUCCAUCCCGAUACUUGAAGGAAAUGGGCCUUAGAACUUCAGACCUGCUACACACAUGUCCUGAAUAAGACUGCUUGUUCUCCAAGUUUAAAGCAAUCUGAUUUGGAAGGAGUGAGAGGUUGCUUGUGUUUAAAAAUAGCCUGCUGAGUAUAGGAGGCUUUUUCCAAUUACUGUGGAAAGAUACUUUCAGGCUGAUUAGCCCCCAAACCACAAACUAUAAAUGUUUUACAGCUUGUGGGCUUAAAUAUAUUGAGAUAAUCUGGGAUAUUUACUCAAAAACCAUAAUCUGAGUAUGAUAAACCAUUUGAUCAAGUCAAAUAUUGUCAAUUCUUCAUGAAGAAUAAAAUUACUAAAUGUAACUUAGUACAACCGUAUGUUUAUAUAGUCCAUUUACCUUUUCGAAAAAUAGAUCUGUAUCUGUGGAAUCACUUUAUCUUCCCAACAGUUUCGCCUUCAAUUUCCUUCUAAUUUAAUUCAUACCUUAUGCUGUCACCAGGGAUCCUUGCCCAUAACACAUCCAUGAAGCAAUGGCAGAUAAGUGAAUUUAUGGCAUUUGUAAAAAAGGAUUAAAAUGGUGGAGUAUGGAAUUGAACCCAGGCAGCAAGGGAGGCAUUCAUGAGGAGGAUAUUGUUGGAUAGGGAGAACGUAGGAGGCUCAAUGGAGUGGGAGCCAUGAUAAGAUUAAAGGACUUUUCUAGUAGGAUACAUGAAUAAUUGAACUAGAAGGAUAUGGGUAGUCUGGGAGCUUGAUGUUGACAUCCGAGAUUUCAGAGGUGGUGCAAGGUGUCCAGGGUGCAGCAAUAAGUGGAGGUAACUGAAGUAGAGGGAAGGAAGGAUCAUAUGAGACCAAGAGGUGAAGAAACUGAGAUGCCAGAGAAGUAAAAUGGUCUUUCCUGGGAAUGCUGGAUUUACAAAGAGUGACAGAAUUUGGAGUGGAAAGGAAGCCUGGGAACAAGGGAAUGAAGAAGUAUGGCCAGGAGGUGACAGAGAUGAGGAAGGUACUGUGUCCCAAUCACAUGAGUGUUAAAAGGCAGGGUUUUGCAGCGAAAAGUGAUUUGGAGGUGGCAGAGGGAAGCAAGGAAGAUCUCUACCUUACCUCUGGGAACCCGGUUACAUGGAAUGUGGAAGAAAAGACAGUCUCUGAGGGCCAUGAGAAAGGUGUCUUCAGAGAACCUCCAAAUUUCAGAGAGGAGGUUAUGGUAUGGAGAAGUUUUAGGAGGGAACUGAAGGUGGACUGGACAGGUCAGGGCACUUGUGGAGAAUGGAGAGGGAGAGUGUGGUGGUGGAUGUUGGGGCCACUGGGACUUCUGGAGGGAUGAGGCAUGGAGAGAUGUGCACAAGCCAAUGGGCCUGCUGGCUCUGGCGGGCUGGUGCCAUAGUCCCGCCCUUGCCAUUGCAGGCAGCUGUUCUCCUUGGAUACCCCACACCGCUGUCCCCCAUCCGCCUCUGCAUCCUUGUAGGUCUCCAAACGCAGUCUGGAUCCUCCCACCUCUGAACUCUGCCUCCAGUGCUCCUUCAUCUGAGGUGCCCUAUUUAAGCCCCCAACUGUCUUUAAUGCUUGACCCAAAUGCACACUCUCUGCAAAAUCCUACAAGACAUCUCCAGUCAGAAACAACAGAUCCUGCUUCUGAUUUCAGGAAAGCAGAUGAAUGGAAGCAUUGAUGCCAAACUACAGCCUCUGCAAACAGGCAAGAAGCCUGAACGCCUACUCACUUGCCUCUGAUUUAUUUGGAAACAAAGAAGGGAGGAGGAGAAAGAGAAGAAUCAGACAGGUAUUUGACGUCUUCCUGGACUCACCAGUCAGCACUACAUCUGGAAUAUGAUUAAACAGCGUGUGGUGCCCAGGAAGACCUGUAUGAAUAACGCUUGUGACUGUUGUCCUCUCCUGUUGGUAUUUCUGAGCACCUCUAUUUCAGUCUUGUACUCCAUCUUGGGACUUU